UGGGCGGUUCGCCGCCGACGACGUCGCGAGAAGUCCACUGAACCUUAUCAUUUAGAGGAAGGAGAAGUCG
rnacentral:rRNA from 1 species